rnacentral:rRNA from 1 species
GUUUGAUCCUGGCUCAGAGUGAACGCUGGCGGCAGGCCUAACACAUGCAAGUCGAGCGGCAGCGCGGGAGUAGCAAUACUUCUGGCGGCGAGCGGCGGACGGGUGAGGAACACAUCGGAAUCUACCCUGUCGUGGGGGACAACGUAGGGAAACUUACGCUAAUACCGCAUACGACCUUUGGGUGAAAGUGGGGGACUCGCAAGAGCCUCACGCGAUUGGAUGAGCCGAUGUCCGAUUAGCUAGUUGGUGGGGUAAUGGCCCACCAAGGCGACGAUCGGUAGCUGGUCUGAGAGGACGACCAGCCACACUGGAACUGAGACACGGUCCAGACUCCUACGGGAGGCAGCAGUGGGGAAUAUUGGACAAUGGGGGCAACCCUGAUCCAGCCAUGCCGCGUGGGUGAAGAAGGCCUUCGGGUUGUAAAGCCCUUUUGUACGGGAAGAAAAGCUUGGGGUUAAUAACCUUGAGUCAUGACGGUACCGUAAGAAUAAGCACCGGCUAACUUCGUGCCAGCAGCCGCGGUAAUACGAAGGGUGCAAGCGUUACUCGGAAUUACUGGGCGUAAAGCGUGCGUAGGCGGUGAGUUAAGUCUGAUGUGAAAUCCCCGGGCUCAACCUGGGAAUGGCAUUGGAUACUGGCUCGCUAGAGUACGGUAGAGGGUGGUGGAAUUCCCGGUGUAGCAGUGAAAUGCGUAGAGAUCGGGAGGAACAUCUGUGGCGAAGGCGGCCACCUGGACCAGUACUGACGCUGAGGCACGAAAGCGUGGGGAGCAAACAGGAUUAGAUACCCUGGUAGUCCACGCCCUAAACGAUGCGAACUGGAUGUUGGG